rnacentral:rRNA from 1 species
CACACCGCCCGUCACGUCAUGGAAGCUGGUAACACCUGAAGCCGGUGGACUAACCUCUUCGGAGGAGGUAGCUGUCGAGGGUGGGAUUAGUGACUGGGACG